GAUGAACGCUGGCGGCGUGCCUAAUACAUGCAAGUCGAGCGAACAGACGAGGAGCUUGCUCCUCUGACGUUAGCGGCGGACGGGUGAGUAACACGUGGAUAACCUACCUAUAAGACUGGGAUAACUUCGGGAAACCGGAGCUAAUACCGGAUAAUAUAUUGAACCGCAUGGUUCAAUAGUGAAAGACGGUUUUGCUGUCACUUAUAGAUGGAUCCGCGCCGCAUUAGCUAGUUGGUAAGGUAACGGCUUACCAAGGCAACGAUGCGUAGCCGACCUGAGAGGGGGAGCGGCCACACUGGAAAUGAGACACGGGCCAGACACCCACGGGAGGCAGAAGUGGGGAAUAUUCCGCAAAGGGCGAAAGCCUGACGGAGCAACGCCGCGUGAGUGAGGAAGGGCUUCGGAUCGUAAAACUCUGUUAUUAGGGAAAAAAAAAAGUGUAAGAAAAAAUGCACGCCUUGACGGGACCCAAACAGAAAGCCACGGCUAAAUACGU
rnacentral:rRNA from 1 species